AUCGCUUCUCAGCCUUUUGGCUAAGAUCAAGUGUAGUGUCUGUUCUUCUCAGUUUUAUAUCUGAUACGUCCCCGGUCGGCGGACCAUAUAUUAAAGGGAUUUUUGAGAACCGGGGGCCAAUUUCGAAGCUUGCUUCCAUCGCUCCAUGCAUUGACUCGAUAUGGCAGUAUCUUCGGGUACAGUGCACCAAAA